rnacentral:rRNA from 1 species
UACGUAGGGGGCAAGCGUUAUCCGGAUUUACUGGGUGUAAAGGGAGCGUAGACGGCAUGGCAAGUCAGAUGUGAAAGCCCGGGGCUCAACCCCGGGACUGCAUUUGAAACUGUCAGGCUGGAGUGCAGGAGAGGUAAGUGGAAUUCCUAGUGUAGCGGUGAAAUGCGUAGAUAUUAGGAGGAACACCAGUGGCGAAGGCGGCUUACUGGACUGUAACUGACGUUGAGGCUCGAAAGCGUGGGGAGCAAACAGGAUUAGAAACCCGAGUAGUCC